rnacentral:rRNA from 1 species
AUUAUACUCCAUAGAUUAGAGACACUGGAAUGUUCUUUAGUCGAAAGUUUGGCGCCUUAGGAUGGAUCUGCGGUCGAUUAGGUUGUUGUUGGGGUAACGGCCCAACAAGCCUGUAAUCGAUACGGGUUGUGGGAGCAAGAGCCCGGAGAUGGAAUCUGAGACACGAUUCCAGGCCCUACGGGGCGCAGCAGGCGCGAAAACUUUACAAUGCAGGAAACUGUGAUAAGGGAACUCCGAGUGCCCGUAUACGCGGGCUGUCCAGGUGUUUAAAAAUCAUCUGAAGAAAGGGCCGGGCAAGACCGGUGCCAGCCGCCGCGGUAAUACCGGCGGCUCGAGUGGUGGCCACUAUUAUUGGGCUUAAAGCGUCCGUAGCUGGACCGAUAAGUCUCUUGGGAAAUCCGCCGGCUCAACCGGCGGGCGUCUAAGGGAUACUGUUAGUCUAGGGACCGGGAGAGGUGAGAGGUACUCCGGGGGUAGGAGUGAAAUCCUGUAAUCCCCGGGGGACCACCGAUGGCGAAGGCAUCUCACCAGAACGGCUCCGACAGUGAGGGACGAAAGCUGGGGGAGCGAACCGGAUUAGAUACCCGGGUAGUCCCAGCCGUAAACUAUGCGCGUUAGGUGU